rnacentral:rRNA from 1 species
GAUGAACGCUGGCGGCGUGCCUAAUACAUGCAAGUAGAACGCUGAAGCUUGGUGCUUGCACCGAGCGGAUGAGUUGCGAACGGGUGGGUAACGCGUAGGUAACCUGCCUGGUAGCGGGGGAUAACUAUUGGAAACGAUAGCUAAUACCGCAUGACAACAGUUAUUGCAUGAUAACUGUUUAAAAGGGGCAAUUGCUCCACUACCAGAUGGACCUGCGUUGUAUUAGCUAGUUGGUGAGGUAACGGCUCACCAAGGCGACGAUACAUAGCCGACCUGAGAGGGUGAUCGGCCACACUGGAACUGAGACACGGCCCAGACUCCUACGGGAGGCAGCAGUAGGGAAUCUUCGGCAAUGGACGGAAGUCUGACCGAGCAACGCCGCGUGAGUGAAGAAGGUUUUCGGAUCGUAAAGCUCUGUUGUAAGAGAAGAACGAGUGUGAGAGUGGAAAGUUCACACUGUGACGGUAUCUUACCAGAAAGGGACGGCUAACUACGU